GCGCCCGUAGCUCAGAUGGAUAGAGUACUUGGCUACGAACCAAGGGGUCGGGCGUUCGAAUCGCUCCGGGCGCA
rfam:Betaproteobacteria bacterium RIFCSPLOWO2_12_61_14 rifcsplowo2_12_sub10_scaffold_3586, whole genome shotgun sequence.